GCAAAUUCUGACAAUGCAAUUGUUACCUUAGUGGGGACACAGAUUCUUGUUGCUUCUUAUUCGGCCAUCUUCUCUGAAUCCCUCAGCGCAUUUGGAAUUGUGUUUGCAGAUGAAUGAUAGUAAGCCAAGCAGGUGCAGCAUGGUGGCAGGCAGAGAAGGACCGGAAGGCUGAGCAUCCCAGAUGGAGGACACAGUCAUAGGCAUGAAACAUGGGAGAUUAUGAGGUUCCGGUUGGUGCAAUCAGUCAAGAAAAAGAAAUAUCCAAAUUGGGAAGGAAGAAGUAAAACUAUCUUUAUUCCCAGAUGACAUUAUUUUCUUUGUUGAAAAUCCAAUGCAAUCUACUCAAUGAGUUCUAUUCUUUGUCC